rnacentral:rRNA from 1 species
UACGAAGGGGGCUAGCGUUGUUCGGAAUUACUGGGCGUAAAGCGCACGUAGGCGGAUGUUUAAGUCGGGGGUGAAAUCCCAGGGCUCAACCCUGGAACUGCCUUCGAUACUGGACGUCUUGAGUCCGGGAGAGGUGAGUGGAAUUCCGAGUGUAGAGGUGAAAUUCGUAGAUAUUCGGAGGAACACCAGUGGCGAAGGCGGCUCACUGGCUCGGAACUGACGCUGAGGUGCGAAGGCGUGGGGAGCAAACGGG